rnacentral:lncRNA from 1 species
CGACUCUUUGUGUGAAUAUAUGUUUUUUUUAUUGGGUAAAUACCUAAGAGUGGAAUGACUGGGCCCCAGGGUCACUGUAUGUUUGACUGGCAGGCUGUUUUCUGAAGUAGCUGUAUCAUCGUGCAUUUCUACGCUCAGUGACAAGAGUUCCAGUUGCUCCACAACUUGACCAACACUCAGCUUGUCAGACUUCUGAUGGGUGUGUAGCGAGAAGCAGCGGUGCAAUGUCUCCAGGACCCAGGGAGCUGAGCAGGAGAGGGUGCUACCGCCCAAGGGGAAAGGGAUGGAAAGCAAGAGAGCUUCCUGGCAGAGGAGACCUUUGAGCUAUGAUUGGAUUCAAGCAAAUCUUCCUUAUGUCCUUCCUGCAUGUGAGGCCCUGAGCAGAGUGCCAGGGAUGAGGAGGAACAGACAGAGCAGCAGCUGCCCUCACCGCCCAGUGGCAGAUGUGAGCAAGUUAUCAACUCUAGCACAACAGGAGAGCCCUUACCUGCAGCUGGGGAGACCGGGGACCUCCUGGCUGAAGUGACCUUUAAGCCAAGGCCUCAAAGCUGAAGAGGAAUGUGUUUUCCCAAGAUAAAUGCAAAGGCUGAGGAUCAAGAAAAAAACAG